rnacentral:misc_RNA from 1 species
GGGUUUUUAGACUCUGUUUGCAAAUUCUGAAACCCAAGAGACACAUUAAAAACCAUGCCAGAUUUCAGCAUUCUAUCAUUCUUGCCGUUGAGGUUUAACCCUGAUUCACGGAACUCAAGCCCAAUUCCAGUUCCUGCAGAUCUCGUCAAAUUUGCAACCAAUUCAGGUGCCUCCUUUUCAACCACAUUGAGGGCUGCUUGGUAGACAUCUCCAGCCUUAUUUCCUGGUCUCAGAGCUCCAAUUGCAGCCUCAUGAGCCUUCAAAAGGACUUCAUACGCCUUGCUUUGCAUUGGAUUGGC